rnacentral:misc_RNA from 1 species
CGGCUCGUUCCUGACGUCCCUUGUGACGUCGUUCGUGAUCUUCAUUGUGCUGAUGCUGCUCUUCACCUGGCUGUCGAGGAGGCCGGGGAACGAGGUGAUCUACUACCCCAGCCGGAUCUUGAGAGGUCUGGAUCCAUGGGAGGGCCGCCGGCGGUCUAGGAACCCUCUGGACUGGAUACGCGAGGCCUUCAUGGCGUCGGAGGAGGAUAUUGUG